rnacentral:rRNA from 1 species
UACGAAGGGGGCUAGCGUUGCUCGGAAUCACUGGGCGUAAAGGGCGCGUAGGCGGCCAUUCAAGUCGGGGGUGAAAGCCUGUGGCUCAACCACAGAAUUGCCUUCGAUACUGCGGGUCUCGAGUCCGGGAGAGGUGAGUGGAAUUCCUAGUGUAGAGGUGAAAUUCGUAGAUAUUAGGAAGAACACCAGUGGCGAAGGCGGCUCACUGGCCCGGUACUGACGCUGAGGCGGCGAAAAGCGUGGGGAGCAAACAGG